rnacentral:rRNA from 2 species
AGGGGGAUAACUACUGGAAACGGUAGCUAAUACCGCAUAACGUCUUCGGACCAAAGUGGGGGACCUUCGGGCCUCACACCAUCGGAUGUGCCCAGAUGGGAUUAGCUAGUAGGUGAGGUAAUGGCUCACCUAGGCGACGAUCCCUAGCUGGUCUGAGAGGAUGACCAGCCACACUGGAACUGAGACACGGUCCAGACUCCUACGGGAGGCAGCAGUGGGGAAUAUUGCACAAUGGGCGCAAGCCUGAUGCAGCCAUGCCGCGUGUGUGAAGAAGGCCUUCGGGUUGUAAAGCACUUUCAGCGAGGAGGAAGGGUUCAGUGUUAAUAGCACUGUUCAUUGACGUUACUCGCAGAAGAAGCACCGGCUAACUCCGUGCCAGCAGCCGCGGUAAUACGGAGGGUGCAAGCGUUAAUCGGAAUUACUGGGCGUAAAGCGCACGCAGGCGGUUUGUUAAGUCAGAUGUGAAAUCCCCGAGCUUAACUUGGGAACUGCAUUUGAAACUGGCAAGCUAGAGUCUUGUAGAGGGGGGUAGAAUUCCAGGUGUAGCGGUGAAAUGCGUA